rnacentral:rRNA from 1 species
GAUGAACGCUGGCGGCGUGCCUAAUACAUGCAAGUCGAGCGAACGGACGAGAAGCUUGCUUCUCUGAUGUUAGCGGCGGACGGGUGAGUAAAACGUGGAUAACCUACCUAUAAGACUGGGAUAACUUCGGGAAACCGGAGCUAAUACCGGAUGAUAUUUUGAACCGCAUGGUUCAAAAGUGAAAGACGGUCUUGCUGUCACUUAUAGAUGGAUCCGCGCUGCAUUAGCUAGUUGGUAAGGUAACGGCUUACCAAGGCAACGAUGCAUAGCCGACCUGAGAGGGUGAUCGGCCACACUGGAACUGAGACACGGUCCAGACUCCUACGGGAGGCAGCAGUAGGGAAUCUUCCGCAAUGGGCGAAAGCCUGACGGAGCAACGCCGCGUGAGUGAUGAAGGUCUUCGGAUCGUAAAACUCUGUUAUUAGGGAAGAACAUAUGUGUAAGUAACUGUGCACAUCUUGACGGUACCUAAUCAGAAAGCCACGGCUAACUACGUG